rnacentral:ncRNA from 12 species
GCUAGCGUGGCAGAGCCUGGCUAAUGCGAAAGACCUAAGCUCUUUUUAUCAGGGGUUCAAAUCCCCUCGCUAACU